GACGAACGCUGGCGGCGUGCUUAACACAUGCAAGUCGAACGGAAAGGCCCUGCUUUCUUGGGGUGCUCGAGUGGCGAACGGGUGAGUAACACGCGAGUAACCUGCCCUUGACUUGGGGAUAACUUCAGGAAACUGGGGCUACUACCGGAUAGGAGCUCCUGCUGCAUGGUGGGGGUUGGAAAGUUUCGGCGGUUCGUGAUGGACUCGCGCAGUAUCAGCGUGUUAGUGGGGUGGUGGCUUACCAAGGCUUUGACGGGUAGCCGGCCUGAGAGGGUGACCGGCCUCAUUGGGACUGAGAUACGGCCAAGACUCCUACGGUAGGCAGCGGUGGGGAAUAUUGCACAAUGGGAGGAAGCCGGAUGCAGCAACGCCGCGUGCGGGAUGACGGCCGUCGGGUUGUAAACCGCUUUCGCCUGUGACGAAGCGUGAGUGACGGUAAUGGGUAAAGAAGCAACGGCUAACUACGUG
rnacentral:rRNA from 1 species